GCUACAACCGCUCGGAACAGGUAUUAAGAGUUUGUUAUUUUAGCAAAUCACCUGUGAAUGGCGAGUCUGAGUUUAUA
rnacentral:sRNA from 1 species